GGGUCAGUAGGUUGGUCGUGCCACCGGUACGUACUGGUCCCAAUUAUUCCUCCUUCCUGAAGAACCGUAAUGCCAUUAAUUCGGUGUUGCGGGGAAACAGGACUGUUACUUUGAAAAAAUUAGAGUGUUUAAAGCAAGCUAACGCUUGAAUACAUUAGCAUGGAAUAAUGAAAUAGGACGAUCGAUCCUAUUUUGUUGGUUUCUAGGAUUGACGUA
rnacentral:rRNA from 1 species